rnacentral:tRNA from 1 species
GCACCAGUGGUCUAGUGGUAGGAUAGUACUCUGCCAGAGUACAGACCCUCGGUUUGAUUCUCGGUUGGUGCA